rnacentral:rRNA from 1 species
AGGAUUCGAGCGUUAUCCGGAUUUAUUGGGUUUAAAGGGAGCGCAGGCGGCGGUGCAAGUCUGAUGUGAAAACCCGGGGCCCAACCCCGGGACUGCAUUGGAAACUGCAUGGCUAGAGUGUCGGAGAGGUAAGUGGAAUUCCUAGUGUAGCGGUGAAAUGCGUAGAUAUUAGGAGGAACACCAGUGGCGAAGGCGGCUUACUGGACGAUAACUGACGCUGAGGCUCGAAAGCGUGGGGAGCAA